UCUAGGAGAUUUAUAGUUUCAUAUAUGCAAAAUGCUUAAGUCCCAGAAUGUGUUUACAUGCUCCUCAGGCACCUCUGCUCUGUGCUUCACUUUUCUAAGUAUAAUGCAAGUUUCAGAGAAUAGAUGGUGCCUCUCCUUGAUAUCUGUCAAGGAACUGCUGUGCCCAACUGUGUGAGGACAGUUUGAGAAAAGCUGGGUAACAAAAUCCAAUUCAUAAAUUACUCAUCAAAUAGAUUAAAUGAUUAAAUUUAAAUGAAGUUCUAUUACAAAGAGAGACAGUAAAGUCUGAGGGCACAAGGAAAUCAGGGAGCACCCUAGAUGCUGGGUAGUAUGUUGAAGCACUGGCCAGAUCCAAGUCUCCACUAGCUAGCACUGAGUACUCACUGUUGCUAAAAGUCAUGACCUUUGGCUUCUCCAGUUCAAUAAAUGGAAUUAAUAAAUAAAAGCAUUUGUUUUGGAAAAUAGGAUUUAAGAUAUUUCAGGAAUAAAACAUGGGAAAAACUGAGCUGGCCCUGUGGAAAUGCAAUGGAGUUAGGGUCCUCUGGUACAGGAUAGGACUAG